rnacentral:rRNA from 1 species
GACGAACGCUGGCGGCGUGCUUAACACAUGCAAGUCGAGCGGAAAGGCCCUUCGGGGUACUCGAGCGGCGAACGGGUGAGUAACACGUGAGUAACCUGCCCUAGGCUUUGGGAUAACCCUCGGAAACGGGGGCUAAUACCGGAUAUUCACUGCUGAUCGCAUGGUUGGUGGUGGAAAGUUUUUCGGUCUGGGAUGGGCUCGCGGCCUAUCAGCUUGCUGGUGGGGUGAUGGCCUACCAAGGCGACGACGGGUAGCCGGCCUGAGAGGGCGACCGGCCACACUGGGACUGAGACACGGCCCAGACUCCUACGGGAGGCAGCAGUGGGGGAAUAUUGCACAAUGGGCGGAAGCCUGAUGCAGCGACGCCGCGUGAGGGAUGACGG